UGGGGAAUAUUGGACAAUGGGCGCAAGCCUGAUCCAGCAAUGUCGCGUGUGUGAAGAAGGCCUUCGGGUUGUAAAGCACUUUUAUCAGGAGCGAAACGCUGUCGGCUAAUACCCGGCGGAACUGACGGUACCUGAGGAAUAAGCACCGGCUAACUUCGUGCCAGCAGCCGCGGUAAUACGAAGGGUGCAAGCGUUAAUCGGAAUUACUGGGCGUAAAGCGUGCGUAGGCGGUUUCUUAAGUCUGCUGUGAAAUCCCCGGGCUCAACCUGGGAAUGGCAGUGGAUACUGGGAGGCUAGAGUGUGUCAGAGGGUGGUGGAAUUCCCGGUGUAGCGGUGAAAUGCGUAGAGAUCGGGAGGAACAUCAGUGGCGAAGGCGGCCACCUGGGACAACACUGACGCUGAGGCACGAAAGCGUGGGGAGCAAACAGGAUUAGAUACCCUGGUAGUCCACGCCCUAAACGAUGCGAACUGGAUGUUGGUCUCAACUCGGAGAUCAGUGUCGAAGCUAACGCGUUAAGUUCGCCGCCUGGGGAGUACGGUCGCAAGACUGAAACUUAAAUGAAUUGAC
rnacentral:rRNA from 1 species